GAAAGGAGAAUGGAAGGCUGAACCGUUGUUGUGUGCAUGCACUCGAAUGAUCUGCGAAUAGGGGUGAAAAGCCUAUCUAGUUCGGCGAUGGCUGGUUCCUGUUGAAAUAUGCCUCAGUAUAGUCUCACUUAGUUUGUUGGCGGGGUAAAGUACGGAUAGAAUUCGCAGGGUCGAAAGAUUACGGAAUUUCUUCCAACUCUGAACCUGUCAGCUGCUUAAAGUGGGAAUCGGGGGCAGCGCGUAAGGUGCUGUUCCGAGACCGGAACAACGGAGACUGGAGUUAAGGUCCCAAAAUGUAUACUAAGUGUAACGAAAGGUGUCUUGAACCUAAGACAGUGGGGAUGUAGGCCCAGAAGCAGCCAACAUUUAAAGAAAGCGUAAUAGCUCACCUAUCGAGGUUCGAGGCCCUGAAAAUGGACGGGGCUAAGUAUACUACCGAUACUCCGGAGGCGCUCAGAUGAGCGUUCUGGUAAGCAGGCGUCUGUUCUGCGCAGAAGUUUUUUCGUAAGAAAGGAUGGAGCGGGACGGAAUGAGAAUCUUGGCGUUAGUAAGAUCAGAUCAACCUGAGAAUGGUUGGCGUCGCAAGAGCAAGGUUUCCUUGGCAAUAUCGUUUAACCAAGGGUUAGUCGGUACCUAAGCUAUACCUUAACUGAGUAUAGCGAAUGGAAAUCAGGUUAAUAUUCCUGAACUAAUCAAACUUUGCAUAUAAUCGGAAGAGCGUCGUGUAGGGAAAGAGUGUAGUGGAUC
rnacentral:rRNA from 1 species